GGCAGCGACCCAGCCCACUUGCAUGUAUGUGUGGUACCCUCUAUAGUGUUACUAGGUGUCGCGGGUACUGCAUCCAAAAGGUCGUCUCAGGAGUACGAAGAAACUCCCGGGUGUAAAUAACACUUGGGCCUGACGGUACCCUCAAAGGAAGCACCGGCUAACUCCGUGCCAGCAGCCGCGGUAAUACGGAGGGUGCAAGCGUUGUUCGGAAUUAUUGGGCGUAAAGCGCGUGUAGGCGGUUGUUUAAGUCUGAUGUGAAAGCCCUGGGCUCAACCCGGGAAGUGCAUUGGAAACUGGGCAACUUGAGUACGGGAGAGGGUAGUGGAAUUCCGAGUGUAGGGGUGAAAUCCGUAGAUAUUCGGAGGAACACCGGUGGCGAAGGCGGCUACCUGGACCGAUACUGACGCUGAGACGCGAAAGCGUGGGGAGCAAACAGGAUUAGAUACCCUGGUAGUCCACGCCGUAAACGAU
rnacentral:rRNA from 1 species